rnacentral:rRNA from 1 species
AUUGAACGCUGGCGGCAGGCCUAACACAUGCAAGUCGAGCGGAUGAAGAGAGCUUGCUCUCUGAUUUAGCGGCGGACGGGUGAGUAAUGCCUAGGAAUCUGCCUGGUAGUGGGGGAUAACGUUCCGAAAGGAACGCUAAUACCGCAUACGCCCUACGGGAGAAAGCAGGGGACCUUCGGGCCUUGCGCUAUCAGAUGAGCCUAGGUCGGAUUAGCUAGUUGGUGAGGUAAUGGCUCACCAAGGCGACGAUCCGUAACUGGUCUGAGAGGAUGAUCAGUCACACUGGAACUGAGACACGGUCCAGACUCCUACGGGAGGCAGCAGUGGGGAAUAUUGGACAAUGGGCGAAAGCCUGAUCCAGCCAUGCCGCGUGUGUGAAGAAGGUCUUCGGAUUGUAAAGCACUUUAAGUUGGGAGGAAGGGCAGUAAGUUAAUACCAUGCUGUUUUGACGUUACCGACAGAAUAAGCACCGGCUAACUUCGUGCCAGCCGCCGCCGUAAAAC